UCGUAAUAAAUAGCGCCAGAACUCGCAAGCGGGACGGAAAUGUAGGCUUUAUAGGCUUACUACUACGCGGUGAGUUGACGAGGUGAAGGUGUUCGAAACAUUCGGCGGGGACCUUCCGGCACGAGGAGUGCCGUUAAGUUGGAGAGCAAAAUCGUUCGGGCGACCGGGCAGACAAGUAUCCAACAUCUAUUAAC
rnacentral:ncRNA from 2 species